AAGCGCUUGUGACCAGACUUGCGCCUGGUAAAUCAUCUAGCCUUCUGGCUAGUGCACUUUGCCGGCUCAGGCCAGCAUCAGUUUGCCGUCGGGGACAAAAGCUUCGGGAACGUGGCUCUCUUCGGGGAGUGUUAUAGCCCGCUGCACAAUACCCUUCGGCGGACUGAGGUACGCGCUCCGCAAGGAUGCUGGCGUAAUGGUCAUCAGCGA
rnacentral:rRNA from 1 species